GAUGAAGAACGUAGCGAACUGCGAUAAGUAAUGUGAAUUGCAGAAUUCAGUGAAUCAUCGAAUCUUUGAACGCACAUUGCGCCCCUUGGUAUUCCGAGGGGCAUGCCUGUUCGAGCGUCAUUAUAACCCUCAAGCUCAGCUUGGUGUUGGGGCCUGCUGCACUGGCAGCCCUUAAAAUCAGUGGCGGCGCCAUCUGGCUCUAAGCGUAGUAAUUCUUCUCGCUAUGGAGUCCUGGUGGAUGCUUGCCAUCAACCCCCAAUUUUUCUAUGGUUGACCUCGGAUCAGGUAGGGAUACCCGCUGAACUUAAGCAUAUCAAUAAGCGGAGGA
rnacentral:misc_RNA from 1 species